rfam:Flavobacteriaceae bacterium TMED179 149457, whole genome shotgun sequence.
UAUAUUUGCUUUACAUUUAUAAUUUUUUACAUAAAAAUCAUUAAAAUUAAUAUUGGCAUG